rnacentral:rRNA from 1 species
GUUUGAUCCUGGCUCAGAUUGAACGCUGGCGGCAUGCUUUACACAUGCAAGUCGAACGGCAGCGGGGGCUUCGGCCUGCCGGCGAGUGGCGAACGGGUGAGUAAUGCAUCGGAACGUGCCCAUGUCGUGGGGGAUAACGUAGCGAAAGCUACGCUAAUACCGCAUACGCCCUGAGGGGGAAAGCGGGGGGAUUCUUCGGAACCUCGCGCGAUUGGAGCGGCCGAUGUCGGAUUAGCUAGUAGGUGAGGUAAAGGCUCACCUAGGCGACGAUCCGUAGCGGGUCUGAGAGGAUGAUCCGCCACACUGGGACUGAGACACGGCCCAGACUCCUACGGGAGGCAGCAGUGGGGAAUUUUGGACAAUGGGCGCAAGCCUGAUCCAGCCAUGCCGCGUGAGUGAAGAA